ACAAAAUUGGAUUUUCAUUCGAUGGCGAUAAGAAGUAAUCAACGUAACGCUAAAUAAAACAAAAUAUUAUUUUGGCUAAUAAUGAGAUGCAGUGUCUUCAAAUAGUAUUUAUUAAUUUGAAAUAAAACUGCAUUGGGAGACACUUUGUUCCUGUAGACCUCUAAUGCGCAAAUGAAGCAUCUACUUAGUACAGAACAUCCAGACACAAACGAAAUACAAUUCACAACGUCACAAAGGAUCUGGAUCUUUCUGGAAUUUACAGCUCCAAGUACCUACAUAGUAAGAAAUUUGAAGUGUUGUCUGAAGAAAGUUGGGAGAUCCUGUCCUACUAGUUAGGGUAUUUUGCGAUCUCAAUCGUGAUAUUAGAGCCAAAUACUCCUGAAAAAUCCUGAUGUGGAACUUGUGUGGGACGCAACUUGUCGAGUUUACUUCAUUCAACACUGGGGCUGCAAUGAUUGCCGGAGACAACAAACGUCACUAAUAUGUCGGUCUGAGUCAGUCUUAUAUGUUUGGCGGCCGUUUGAUGUCGAGACACUUGAACCUUGGGAUCUAGAGGCACAGAGAUUGUACAAAACUCUCCACAUACUUAAUAGAGCUAUUGAAAACUCAAGCGAUGGCAGUUAUUACGGCCAACCGAGCAGCCAUGCUAUCGCACGCAGAAAUCCCGCAAGUAGUUUUAGAACACAUGUAUGUAGUGAUAGUGAUUACCCACAUUUAAAUCAUUUUUUUGA